rnacentral:rRNA from 1 species
CCCCAGACUCCUACGGGAGGCAGCAGUGGGGGAUAUUGCACAAUGGGGGGAACCCUGAUGCAGCGACGCCGCGUGGGUGAAGGAGUAUUUCGGUAUGUAAAGCCCUAUCGGCAGGGAAGAAGCAAGACGGUACCUGACUAAGAAGCCCCGGCUAACUACGUGCCAGCAGCCGCGGUAAUACGUAGGGGGCGAGCGUUAUCCGGAUUUACUGGGCGUAAAGGGAGCGUAGGCGGCCUGCCAAGUCUGAUGUGAAAUACCGGGGCUCAACCCCGGGGCUGCAUUGGAAACUGGCAGGCUGGAGUGCCGGAGAGGCAGGCGGAAUUCCUAGUGUAGCGGUGAAAUGCGUAGAUAUUAGGAGGAACACCAGUGGCGAAGGCGGCCUGCUGGACGGUGACUGACGCUGAGGCUCGAAAGCGUGGGGAGCAAACAGGAUUAGAUACCCUUGUAA